UUCACAAGCUCAUCCAAGCACCAUUUUGAAGCAGCAUAAUUCUUGGAGAAGACAAUGAUAGAAAUCCUGGAUUUUUCGAUUGCUCGGAGAAGUGAUUUUGUAAUGAGACUUCCUCGUUGUAGGUUUUUGUCAUCCCUGUAUGCCUUGAUCUGUCUCCCUAAUAGACCAGCAAGAAGAUGGUCUGUGAAUUUGUCGCGGGUGUCUUUGCCACUAAAGCUGAGAAAGACUUCGUACCUCCACGCAGGUGUUGCAAGAGGAGCAGUAGAAGGAGGAGGAGGAGGAUAAGGGUAAGAACGAGGGAGUUCUUCCAUGGCCUCCGAUGCCAUCUACUAGCCUGUUUGUGCUUUGAUUAAUG
rnacentral:misc_RNA from 1 species